AAGUUUUUAUUUGCAAAAAAUUAUUAUUUUUGAUGAACACUAUUCAAUUCCCUUUGGCAUCAAUCCCAGUGACUCCAAAGGUAAAGAGCCUUCGUUCUUGGACGAAAAUGGCGUGGUCAACGACAUGGAGGGUUACCUCGACUACGACUCUGUCUGGGACACUAAACCCUCUUGGCAUAUUCAGAUAUGAUUGCUGAGCGCAGAGAAAAAGUUACAAAUGGUGUUGAAAACACAUUUGGUCAAAGGAAGAAUCAGUGAUUUGUAUUAUUCUUGCCCCUUCUUUCCUCACUCUUUGCCUUUGCUUGUAUUUUCAUAUUCAAUUACUGAAUGGUACUCGUUGAGGCUUCCUUCAUGUUAUGUAACUGCCAAUUGGCUUGGAGAUCAUAGGGUGAUGUACAAUUCUUGACAACUAACACUGUAUAAUAAAUACUUGACCUUUUCUUCA